GUGACCAUUUUAAUUACCAUGCCACCCAAGUUAUUAUAUCAACUAAUCAAUUCUAAUUUAACCAAAUUGUAACAAUCAAAUGAAGUAUUAGUUUAAAUAGCCUCAGGCUAAAAAUAAAAUCAAUGGAAAAUAAUAAUCAUAAGAAAUGAUUUAAAGUUCAAUGGAUUCACCUCUCAGAACUGGACACUGGAUCUUGAAAACAAUUGACCAGGUCAAAUGUUAAUUUCUGUUUGUUGAUCUUCACUUGAUUAUGUUUAUCUAGAGAUAUAAACACUUACAAUCAUAUGGUAAUCAUCAACAUCACUGGAAAUCUUCAUAUGAUUACCUCUUGACUUUUAACCAUCCACUGGAUUCCCGAAGUUUACAAAUAUUAUCAUUUAUCAUUUACUCUUAUUAAUAUAAUUAUUAACUUGCUUUCAUCGUUAAUAUCACAUCUUAGUUAUCUGAAGAUCUUAAUUGCUGCUCUUUCCUUCAAACCAAUUUCAAAUUGCAAUAGAAUAUCCGAAAAUCAAUUCAGUAAAUAUUAUCAUCGAAACCUUUAUUUUUUUUUUGCUCAAUGAGUUUGUUUAUUUUUUUAAAUUGUUUGCACAAUUUAAAACUAAUAACUAAACUUCAAGGUUAAUUAUGUAAUUUUCAAUUGUUUUGCAAAUUGACUUCCGAGUGAUUGUUUGAUUAUUUAACUAACAUUACUUACUACUUAUUAAUGGCUAUUAACUACUUGUGAUUAAAUUAAAACCAGUUUGAUUAUCAUUUACCAAUAUGGAGCCAAACAAUUAACAGUUUAAAGUGUAAAUAAUGAUAUGAUAAAGGGCGAAAUUGGAUUGGAAAC